GGGGGUAUGGUCUAGUGGUAUGAUUUCUGUUUUGCAUUGACCCAGCGUUACAGACGGUCCCGCGUUCGAUCCGCGGUGCUUCCA